UACGUAGGCAGCAAGCGUUGUUCGGAGUUACUGGGCGUAAAGAGUGCGUAGGCGGUUCUCUAAGUUCGGUGUGAAAUCUCCCGGCUCAACUGGGAGGGUGCGCCGAAGACUGGAGAGCUUGAGUGUGGGAGAGGAAAGCGGAAUUCCUGGUGUAGCGGUGAAAUGCGUAGAUAUCAGGAGGAACACCUGCGGUGUAGACGGCUUUCUAGACCGCAACUGACGCUGAGGCACGAAAGCGUGGGUAGCAAACAGG
rnacentral:rRNA from 1 species